GUUAGCACAGCUCUCAGGGACAUAUUCCUAGCAACAAAAGGCGCUUUUGGAGGGAGGGGAGAGAAGAAGAAAUCACUUUCCACUUCCCUUUGCCUGUGCUGGGCUGUAAAGCAAGACUUCAGCACAAAUAGGCUCCUGAUGCUCUGUGAAGGUGGAUCCCUACUUCUGUCCUCAUAGCACUGUGGAAGAUGUGGGCCUUCAAACAUAUUUUAAGAAGUGAGAGCACAGUAUGAAGCAUUGGAACAUAGCUAGGCAUUUUGUACUGGAAGAUAAAGAAAAUUAUCUAAUAAAAUACAUAAUAAAAUUAAUCUUUAUACUAGCCGACCCCGCACAGAGCAUGUGUGCGGCACUUUGGGGCCGACUGUUUCCCCCUCCCUCUUCCUCCUGCCCCGGUCUCGCCUCUCUUCCCCUUCCCUCUGGCCCUGCACUCUCCAGCCCUCCUCCCCUCCCGUUUCUCCCCUCACUGUCAAGGUCUGGCCAGCUGCGAGGGAAGUUCACGAAGCAAGCGGAGCUGCUGAAAUCGGAUACGGCUUGGCUGAACGCUGUCGACAAGAAUGUUGACGAACGUUGAUUCUCAGCAAUGAGUUGGAGGCUGGAGAUGUGAUUUAUAGAGCAAGUCGAGAGCUCCCAGCUGGAAGCACAGGCCUUGAGCCACACCCCCCCCCCACCUUUCCAGGGCCUGAUCUCUGGCUACCAGUGACGCACUUAGCCGAAUGUGGUGCCUGGACUGCCACACUGCAAGGACACACACCCCCGUCACAAGCCGCCACUGCAUUUUGCAGGGGCUCCUGCUGCCACCCCAUGUCAAGGUCUGGCCAGCUGCUAAGGAAGUUCAUGAAGCAAGCGGAGCUGCUGAAAUUGGAUACGGCUUGGCUGAACGCUGUCGGCAAGGAUGAUUGACGAACGUUGAUUCUCAGCAAUGAGUAGGAGGCUGGAGCUGUGAUUUAUGGAGCAAGCUGAGAGCUCCCAGCUGGUUCCCACUGCGCAGCUGCGGCUGCCUCCAAAAUGUCCACCAUGCUGGGGAAUAGGCUCAGAAAGGGCCGAAGACACCUGAGCCAGGCAAUUUUUACAAAAAGGAAGGCCGGCAGGGGGAAGGGGGAACCUCCACGGAGCCUCCCACCACUACCUUGGAGAAGUGCCCCGGAGGGGGCUCAGUUCCAAGUGCUGAUGAUUACCUUGAUGAUGGGGCUGAAACUCAGUGGCAGCGCAUCUGAUCUGCAUGCAGAAGGCACCAGAUUCAAUCCCUGCCAUCUCCAGGUAGGGCUGGGAAAGACCCCUGCCUGAAACCUUGGAGAGCUGCUGCCAGUCAGUGAUAACAAUACUAUAUAGACCAAUGAUCUAUAUAGAGAAACCGCCCUGAGCCAUUUUUGGAAGGGCGGUAUAUAAAUCAAAUAAAACAAAUAAAGGCAUUAGGCAGCUCCCUAUGUUCCUAUAGGAACAUAUAACAUGAACUUGCCUAUAGGAAUCUGCCUAUCUACUGAGGACAUCUGGGAGACCCUUUUGUGCAUUUCACCACCUUUGGGACAUAUGAGAGGCCUUUAUUCUGUUGCAGUGCCCAGUGCCCUUUUUUGCCCUGUGAGAUCCAUUUGGUGAUUUAUGUCAGUGUUUCUCAACAUUUUUGGAGUCAUGGACCAGUACAUUAUUCAUGCACAAUUUCCUGAACCAGCAGUUAGUAAGGGGGUCACCCCCCUCACCCCACCCCCACCCCCAGGCACCUCCCAAAAAACAAUUUUGGGCAGUUCUCUGGAGCUCAUUUCCAGGCAGCCCU